rnacentral:rRNA from 1 species
UUGCCAGCCCGCUCAGAAACUCAAAGGAAUUGACGGGGCCCGCACAAGCGGUGGAGCAUGUGGUUUAAUUCGAUGGUACGCGAGGAACCUUACCUGGGCUCAAAUGUAUGUUGACGUAUUCUGAAAGGGAUACUUCUUCGGACAAUAUACAAGGUGCUGCAUGGUUGUCGUCAGCUCGUGCCGUGAGGUGUCGGGUUAAGUCCCAUAACGAGCGCAACCCCUAUCAUUAGUUGCCAUCAGGUCAAGCUGGGGACUCUAAUGAAACUGCCUACGCAAGUAGUGAGGAAGGUGGGGAUGACGUCAAAUCAGCACGGCCCUUACGUCCAGGGCUACACACGUGCUACAAUGGCCGGUACAAAGGGCAGCUACCUGGUGACAGGAUGCUAAUCUCAAAAGCCGGUCUCAGUUCGGAUCGGAGUCUGCAACCCGACUCCGUGAAGCUGGAAUCACUAGUAAUCGCGCAUCAGCCAUGGCGCGGUGAAUACGUUCCCGGGCCUU